GGCACUUUGGCGGAGUGGUUAACGCGGUAUGUUGUAUCGAUUCUGAUUCGGGAGCGUGUGUUCGAAUCACACAGGUGUCG
rnacentral:tRNA from 1 species